GCACCGGAUUGGCUGCUGACGUGGUUCUCUCGUGAGGUGUGAUCCGUUUUCUAGAAAAAGGCUAUAAAUAACGGGUGAAUAUGUAUUGCUGCAUGAACUGCACUAUACUGCGCUGAAGCUUAACAUAUCAACAGAAUGAUCUUUUCUGAGGGGAGUGAUGAAGAGGAUGAAGAUGAUGAUGAAGAAGAUGAUGGAGGUGCUGAAGUAAUUGAAUGCCGCCAAGGGUAGGCAACUGCUUCAGACCUUGAUGCAGCCAGUGUUGAGAAACACCCAAUAGUACGCUGGAUCCAUGAACUGUGUGUACUUGCUGAUAAAAGCAAGCAGCAGCCAAAGAAACACACAGCUUCUUUUGUGACAAAUGUCACAACCCAAGCACCUCCCGCGCCAUGUGUGUCCAUGGCAAACCUGACACGUAGACCAUGAUCCUCCAUAGGAACGAUGGACCUCGCAACUUACCCGCUGUGCAGUGGCAGCACCAUCGCUUUUCUUCAGACUGGCUCUGCUUUUGUGUCUGUUUUGUGCAACCCUGAAGAAACCAUGGAGAGAAGAAUGAAAUGUACAUGGAGAGGUGAUGACCUGAUGGUUAAAGAGCUGCUUUUCCAGAGGUUGGAAGAUGUGAGCCAGUUAUUUCUGUCAUCACAAUCGUCCUCAUCAAUCACCAUUGUGCCAUUGAGCAACGCACAUGACUCCAAUUUCUUUCCGCAGGACUAACUUUUUCUGCAACAGGUCUACAGUAGUCAAACAUCCAUUAAAAUACAAACAGAGAUGGGCUGGAUGGGCAUUUUGAAAAUGUACCAAUGGAUGUACUAUGUUGCUCACAAAUGGGAGGUCAAUGCCCCUUUGAAGCCCAGGUGUAUUUGUUGUAAGGAUAUUCAGACUAUGGCUGCUUGAUUCAAAGCUCUCCAGUAUAACUAACAGAAGGUUUCUGGAGCAGCGGAUCAGGGUCAGUGCUAAUAGCCCACUGUUUUAUUUUUUUUAUUUUUAUUUUUUUAGCUCACUUGUUUCAACGUCAGUGGCACUUGGCUAUAGAGAGCAUGCUAAUAGCGAGAUGGCAUGUUCACCAGGAUAGGGUUCACAGGCACAAUGAUUCUGCAAGUUGUGCUGACUUUGUUGAAUCCACUGGUUUAGAUACCUUACUUACACUACACAAUAUGACACACAGUGCUAAAUCUCACGCACAGGUGUUAUUGCAGUGCUGUUGAACAAAAGUUACACAACAUAUGUAACAUACCUGUAAUGGGAUAUGAUCUCAUACAGAACAUGGUCCUAUUCAAAGGACCUAUACAGGUCUAGCCCCGAAAUGAAGCCUAAUAAAUGUGACACAACAUCAGAGGCCUCAUUCCUAUUGAGCACUAAUUAGAUAAUUGGUUGUGUGGCGAAGGAAUCACUAGAAAGUUGUGCAUUUAGUUUUUACAUUGAUGUUCUUCAAAAUGUCAUGAUUGCAGAUGGAUUUCUGUGCAUUUGUCUGCCAGAAUGCACAACAGUCUAAUGAGCUACACGGAAACUUCCUCUAAGUAUGUUAUGUAUCCAAGUA